UACAGAGGGUGCAAGCGUUGUUCGGAAUUAUUGGGCGUAAAGCGCGUGUAGGCGGCUUUGCAAGUCGGGUGUGAAAGCCCUCGGCUCAACCGAGGAAGUGCGCCCGAAACUGCAGAGCUUGAGUACCGGAGAGGAUGGCGGAAUUCCCCAAGUAGAGGUGAAAUUCGUAGAUAUGGGGAGGAACACCGGUGGCGAAGGCGGCCAUCUGGGACGGUACUGACGCUGAGACGCGAAAGCGUGGGGAGCGAACAGG
rnacentral:rRNA from 1 species